rnacentral:rRNA from 1 species
GACAGAGGUCCCGAGCGUUAGGCGGAAUCACUGGGCUUAAAGCGUGUGUAGGCGGAUCGUUAAGUACCUUGUGAAAUCCCACGGCUCAACCGUGGAACUGCUGGGUAUACUGGCGGUCUUGAGCCACCUAGGGGCAACUGGAACAAGCGGUGGAGCGGUGAAAUGCGUAGAUAUCGCUUGGAACGCCAACGGUGAAAACAGGUUGCUGGGGGUGUGCUGACGCUGAGACACGAAAGCCAGGGGAGCGAACGGG